rnacentral:rRNA from 1 species
UCCUACGGGGGGCAGCAGUAGGGAAUCUUCCACAAUGGGCGAAAGCCUGAUGGAGCAACGCCGCGUGAGUGAAGAAGGAUUUCGGUUCGUAAAACUCUGUUGUAAGGGAAGAACAAGUACAGUAGUAACUGGCUGUACCUUGACGGUACCUUAUUAGAAAGCCACGGCUAACUACGUGCCAGCAGCCGCGGUAAUACGUAGGUGGCAAGCGUUGUCCGGAAUUAUUGGGCGUAAAGCGCGCGCAGGUGGUUUCUUAAGUCUGAUGUGAAAGCCCACGGCUCAACCGUGGAGGGUCAUUGGAAACUGGGAGACUUGAGUGCAGAAGAGGAUAGUGGAAUUCCAAGUGUAGCGGUGAAAUGCGUAGAGAUUUGGAGGAACACCAGUGGCGAAGGCGACUAUCUGGUCUGUAACUGACACUGAGGCGCAAAGGGCGG